rnacentral:lncRNA from 1 species
UCUCACUUGACUUCCAAAGCCACAGCAAUGUCUUUCAGGACCGUUAUUUACUUCACCUUGAUGGUGGGCGCCCUUGCUGAAUCUGGUCCAAGAUACACUCCUCCUGCCCCAUCGUACCACGCUCCUGCACCGGCCCCCUCGGGGCCAGCACAGUACGACUUCAAUUAUGCUGUGCAAGAUAAUGUUGGAAACGACUUCGGCCACCAAGAAAACCGAAAUGGGU